AACGCACAUUGCGCCCCUUGGUAUUCCGAGGGGCAUGCCUAUUCGAGCGUCAUUAUCACCCCUCAAGCCUAGCUUGGUGUUGAGGCCUGCUGUUAAGGCAGCCUCUAAAAUCAGUGGCAGUGCUGUCAGGCUCUAAGCGUAGUAAUUUCAUCGCUAUAGGGUCCUGGUGGAUACUCGCCAAAACCCCCCCAUUUUUUAAUGAUUGACCUCGGAUUAGGUAGGGAUACCCGCUGAACUUAA
rnacentral:misc_RNA from 1 species